UAUCUCCUAUCCCUAGGGCUUGUUCUUCAUGGGUACGGAAGAUGCUUGGGAGUUCUCUCUACAUUCCUUGGGUUCUUUGCCAUUUUCACAGCCACUGGCUCCCACGACAAGACUUGUAGAGAACAGAUGUAGCUGUUAAGCUCAGUUUAACUUUAAAAUGGGCCUAGCACUUGUUUUAAAAGAGGUAGAGAUGGGAUUUGAACCUAGAUUUAUUUAGGUCCAUAGUUAAGAGCAAACUGUCGGGCAUCAAUAGCAUAUAUGAUGGAAAUGAAACAUGGAAAUGAGGACAGGAUUACCCUUCAUUCUAGUUAGCAAUCAUCAUCUACUAAUCCAAAGGACCUUGGGUUGCAGCCAAUUCUGGCUCCAUGUGCUGGGAUCAUCCCCUAUCAGGUAGUUUAAAACCUCAUAAAAGAAUAGACGUACUAGGUGAGAUUGCUCUGCAUGUAGGAGGAAAGCUUAUGGGACACGCUUCUGGAAAGCAGAUCUUAAGCUAAUCAACAUAGGGCAACUUGCGUAAUUAUGGCUAUACUUGAGGGUUCACUUUGAAAUUCAUCAUGUUCUACACUAAUCUAUACUUUCCUCUAUGUGUAUGAUUUACUGUAAAGCUAAAGAUCCUAUAAUUUUUCCUAGUGGGAACUCUGCUCAAUCCUCUCAUGAUACUGCUAAAAUAAAAUGCAGAGCUUGUCAGCUGAGUAGCAUAGGGGAUAAGACCUCACAUACUACCUCCAUUUCAUGCUACUAACAAUUUGGAAUUGAUUUUUCCUCUUCCCAGGUCAGCUAACUUGGGAAAAGGGUGAUGCAAGAAGUAAUGUGUCCACCCUAAACAGCUUGACUCUGAUCUCUUCCUUCCACCCGGCAAAUCCCUCAGCUUAAGGCUCUUCCCUGAGGAUGACCAUGGCACUUCCAGCUGCAGGUCUGGGGUGGCUGCUCAUCUCUUAAACCACUUUCCUCCCAGAUCCCUUGUGUACUGCACCCCACCACCCUGAUUUCUCCCUGGGAAGUACAUUGAUUUGUGCUAGCAACUGCUUACUGGAGGACCCAGCUUAGAGUGGACACUUUCUCCAGAUGUUGGGUCAAGCCCGUGUAGGAUUAAAGGAGAGGAAGCAGACAAGGAGAGCCUCAGGUCAUUAUGCAGACAUAAGGUCUGAAGCCCCAAUGAUGUGCUCCAAAGACUGCUCAAAGCUGUGCUGCAUUGGGCAGAAAUGGCCAGGCACUACUACCUCUACCAUGCUCAGUCAUCAGCUGGAUUUGCCUGGGGACACCACAGUGGCAAGUGCUGCGAUGGAUCCCAAAGGCACUGCAGCUAUCUGCCAUCCUACAGCUGAAUGCCAAGGCUUGCCUUGAAAAGCAAUUCAAGCAGCCCAUCUCUAGGGCUGUCACAUAUGGAGCUCUUUAACCCAUCCUUCCCCCUCUGAAUGCUGGGAGAAGCUAAAUGCUGGCAGUCUUCCUCCAGCUUCAAAUCCUAAUUAAGUUCACUGGAGAAUCUGGGCAAUGCCUCCAGAUAACAUUCCUACUUCCAGCCUGGACAAUGUCACACAGUAGUAGCCCUCCUACAAAUCUGUGGUGCUAAUAGCAGUCAUAAUGUUAUAAACAAAAUUUUGGUGCCACAAAAUAAAUAUCACUCGAAUAUUAAA